rnacentral:rRNA from 1 species
GACGAACGCUGUCGGCGUGCUUAACACAUGCAAGUCGAACGGAAAGGCCCUGCUUUUGUGGGGUGCUCGAGUGGCGAACGGGUGAGUAACACGUGAGUAACCUGCCCUUGACUUUGGGAUAACUUCAGGAAACUGGGGCUAAUACCGGAUAGGAGCUCCUGCUGCAUGGUGGGGGUUGGAAAGUUUCGGCGGUUGGGGAUGGACUCGCGGCUUAUCAGCUUGUUGGUGGGGUAGUGGCUUACCAAGGCUUUGACGGGUAGCCGGCCUGAGAGGGUGACCGGCCACAUUGGGACUGAGAUACGGCCCAGACUCCUACGGGAGGCAGCAGUGGGGAAUAUUGCACAAUGGGCGGAAGCCUGAUGCAGCAACGCCGCGUGCGGGAUGACGGCCUUCGGGUUGUAAACCGCUUUCGCCUGUGACGAAGCGUGAGUGACGGUAAUGGGUAAAGAAGCACCGGCUAACUACGUGCCAGCAGCCGCGGUGAUACGUAGGGUGCGAGCGUUGUCCGGAUUUAUUGGGCGUAAAGGGCUCGUAGGUGGUUGAUCGCGUCGGAAGUGUAAUCUUGGGGCUUAACCCUGAGCGUGCUUUCGAUACGGGUUGACUUGAGGAAGGUAGGGGAGAAUGGAAUUCCUGGUGGAGCGGUGGAAUGCGCAGAUAUCAGGAGGAACACCAGUGGCGAAGGCGGUUCUCUGGGCCUUUCCUGACGCUGAGGAGCGAAAGCGUGGGGAGCGAACAGGCUUAGAUACCCUGGUAGUCCACGCUGUAAACGGUGGGUACUAGGUGUGGGGUCCAUUCCACGGGUUCCGUGCCGUAGCUAACGCUUUAAGUACCCCGCCUGGGGAGUACGGCCGCAAGGCUAAAACUCAAAGGAAUUGACGGGGCCCCGCACAAGCGGCGGAGCAUGCGGAUUAAUUCGAUGCAACGCGUAGAACCUUACCCGGGUUUGACAUGGAUCGGGAGUGCUCAGAGAUGGGUGUGCCUCUUUUGGGGUCGGUUCACAGGUGGUGCAUGGCUGUCGUCAGCUCGUGUCGUGAGAUGUUGGGUUAAGUCCCGCAACGAGCGCAACCCUUGUUCACUGUUGCCAGCACGUUAUGGUGGGGACUCAGUGGAGACCGCCGGGGUCAACUCGGAGGAAGGUGGGGAUGACGUCAAGUCAUCAUGCCCCUUAUGUCCAGGGCUUCACGCAUGCUACAAUGGCUGGUACAGAGAGUGGCGAGCCUGUGAGGGUGAGCGAAUCUCGGAAAGCCGGUCUCAGUUCGGAUUGGGGUCUGCAACUCGACCUCAUGAAGUCGGAGUCGCUAGUAAUCGCAGAUCAGCAACGCUGCGGUGAAUACGUUCCCGGGGCU